rnacentral:piRNA from 1 species
UNGGCAUAUGUAUCCACUUUCAGGGCUGAUC